ACCAGCCUGGCCAACAUGGUGAAACCCAUCUCUACUAAAAAUAUAAUAAUUAGCCAGCUGUGGUGGUGCACGCUUAUAAUCCCAGCUACUUGGGAGGCUAAGGCAGGAGAACUGCUUGAACCCAGGAGGCAGAGGUUGCCGUGAGCCAAGAUCGUGCCACUGUACUCCAGCCUGGAUGACAGAGCGAGACUCUGUCUCAAAAACAACAACCACCACCACCACCACAACAACAACAACAAAACUAUCUGCAAACUUUGCAGCUUCAACUAAGUAAG
rnacentral:lncRNA from 10 species